rnacentral:rRNA from 1 species
CCAAUAGCGUAUAUUUAUUUUGCUGUGUUUAAAAAGCUCGUAGUUGGAUCUCGGCAGCCAGAGGGCGGUUUGCUUUGUAGCAUUACUGCCCUAUUGGCUGUAGUUUUGUCAGAGGUCUUUGGGUGCUCUUCACCGAGUGUCCUAAGAUGCUGGCAGGUUUACUUUGAAAAAAUUAGAGUGCUUAAAGCAGGCUUAUAGGCCCGAAUAUUCGUGCAUGGAAUAAUAGAAUAGGAUGUCGUUUCUAUUUUGUUGGUUCUCGGAAAUCGACAUAAUGAUUAACAGGGACAGUCGGGGGCAUUUGUAUUCAAACGACAGAGGUGAAAUUCUUGGACCGUUUGAAGACAAACUACUGCGAAAGCAUUUGCCAAGAAUGUUUUCAUUAA